GAAACCCAAUCAACUCCAAACUUUCUUCUCCCUCACUUAGCCGAAUUGGUCUCUUUCCUAUUCCAUCUCUCUCUCCCUCGUCGAUAGAAGCCAGUAGCGAUGAAUCAACAAUAGCAGUUCGAAUCUGCGAAUUUGGACGGCAAAUAAAAUGGUUCUUUUUCCGACGGUGUAGUUGUCGACAGUUCGCAGGUUCACUAUCAAAGUGGCUAGGAUCUUAAGUGUUGAUUGAAAUUAUUGGACUUCAAGAGUAAGUUUUCGUGUUCACCAAAACCAGUUAUUUGCCCCAAUAUAUAUAGUUGUGAUAUAUAAAUGUGGUUAUGAUAUGAUAUUUAAUUUAUAUGUAACAAAAUUAUGUGUUUUUAUAAAAGUAUGUGCAUAAUAAUGUUCAUGUGAUCACAAGUACGUUGCAUAUUAUGCGUGUGAUUCUCAAAUUAUCGAGAAUGAAUUUUGACGGGUCAAACCCGUGUGUUGAGUAAAAGUGUGGCUUGGAAAUUUUGGUGUUAUAUAUAUUAGUAUGGUGAAAUUGUAUUAACACUGUUGUAGACUAAAUAUUUAUUUUUGAGAAAUUAUGUGGAGAAAAUGUGGAGAAAUUAUAUAUGUUAGAGAAAACUAUUUUACUGGUGAAAA